rnacentral:rRNA from 1 species
UACAGAGGUCCCAAGCGUUGUUCGGAUUUAUUGGGCGUAAAGGGUGCGUAGGCGGUUGCCUAAGUCAGAUGUGAAAUCCCGGGGCUCAACCUCGGAACUGCAUUUGAUACUGGGUAACUUGAGUACUGGAGGGGAGACUGGAAUUUACGGUGUAGCAGUGAAAUGCGUAGAUAUCGUAAGGAAGACCAGUGGCGAAGGCGAGUCUCUGGACAGUUACUGACGCUGAGGCACGAAGGCCAGGGGAGCAAACGGG